AUCCACGAAGGGUUGCAGAAUGUGCCGCGCGUGGGCCCAGCUAAGUGAGCCCCACAGCAAUACACCAUUAUGAUUUGGUAAAUUUCUUUCAGUCUGUUGAUGAGCGCGACCUUGGGAUGUUGCUGUGAUGUUAAAUGCCCCUAGUUCUGGGAAAUACGAGGAGGACCAGCAGUCGAGUGGAGGAGUACACAGAUGAUGACGGCAUCGCAGAUGGUGACGAUAGGUGCAGAUUGCCAGCAAGAUCACCGUUAAUGAAGAAGGAGAGAGAGAAGGCCCUGCCACGGUCAUUGGAGAGCCAGUACAAGUCAUCACCUGUGACAGUGGACUUUGCUCGUGGAAGAAAGUCAGGGCUUUGACUUUCUAACAGUGUCAUGGCCUUUCCAAUGCAACCUGUGUCUACAGACGAGUGUGAUGUGAAAUCGUCUCCUCGCUUCCUACAUUGACAGCGAAGGGCAAAUUGACGGUUCUGCGAGCAAACACUUGGUUGCUUGAUGAGGUUGCUUAGAGCAUGCUAAUAAAUGUGAGUCGCAGGCUCACAUUCAUCAG